rnacentral:rRNA from 1 species
GACAGAGGGUGCAAACGUUGUUCGGAAUUACUGGGCGUAAAGCGUGUGUAGGCGGCCGCGCAAGUCGGAUGUGAAAGCCCUGGGCUCAACUCAGGAAGUGCACCCGAUACUGCGUGGCUCGAGUACCGGAGAGGUUGGUGGAAUUCUCGGUGUAGAGGUGAAAUGCGCGGAUAUCGGGAGGAACACCCGUAGCGAAGGCGGCACUCUGGGCCGGUACUGACGCUGAGGAGCGAAAGCGUGGGGAGCAAACAGG